rnacentral:rRNA from 1 species
AUUGAACGCUGGCGGCAGGCCUAACACAUGCAAGUCGAGCGGUAGAGAGGAGCUUGCUUCUCCUGAGAGCGGCGGACGGGUGAGUAAUGCCUAGGAAUCUGCCUGGUAGUGGGGGAUAACGUUCGGAAACGGACGCUAAUACCGCAUACGUCCUACGGGAGAAAGUGGGGGAUCUUCGGACCUCACGCUAUCAGAUGAGCCUAGGUCGGAUUAGCUAGUUGGUGAGGUAAAGGCUCACCAAGGCGACGAUCCGUAACUGGUCUGAGAGGAUGAUCAGUCACACUGGAACUGAGACACGGUCCAGACUCCUACGGGGGGCAGCAGUGGGGAAUAUUGGACAAUGGGCGCAAGCCUGAUCCAGCCAUGCCGCGUGUGUGAAGAAGGUCUUCGGAUUGUAAAGCACUUUAAGUUGGGAGGAAGGGCAGUAAGUUAAUACCUUGCUGUUUUGACGUUACCGACAGAAUAAGCACCGGCUAACUUCGUGCCAGCCGCCGCCGUAAGAC